UGAAGCAGAAAUGUUAUUGAGAAGCCACCUUCCCUGUAGCAUCCCUGCUCCUGCUGCCACCUCCAGCUUGGUGCCUCCAUCUGCCCGGUGUACCAUGGGGCAGCAGUGCCAGCAGGCUCUGUCCACGAGGUCCAGGAUGCUGCUGAGCUUCUCAUCAAACACCCUGUGCUGCAGGGACUCAUUCCUCCAAGCGCUGCAGACAGCCCUGACUGUGAGUUUGACAGGCGUGCACUUGCCUAUGUUUAUAAUGAAGAUGCCAUUGGCAGACCCUCCACAGGUUGGGUAAGGUGAUUUCUUUAGCCAGAGAUUUACAAGAUUUUGCAGGAAAACAUUCUCAGCUUUUUCAGCAUUUUUUUAGAUGAUGCCAUAAUGCAGUCAUUGCCAAUAUUCAGCUUUGGGAAAGGUUCCUGAAAUAUUUUUAGCCUCUGACUCUUCUCUCUGCACUUAGAAAUAUCCUUGAUAAAGUACUAGAAGAAUUAGAUAUUUACUGGACCCCAUACACUGCCAAAUCUAUCUUUCUCUAUUUACAUUUCCUUAUCUAAUUGUGUAUUUCUUACUCUAGGCCACCAAUUGCAGGAGUUGCAUGUUGUGAGAUACAGAUACAAUGCAUUCCCUUGAGGGACAGAGUACAAAACUGAUGGGUUUGCUCUGGGUGCGUCAGUCCAGAGAGAUCUGCAGAGGAGAACGAAGGCAGGGACUCGUGCACAUGUGAAGUUGCUGUCUCCAAGUGGCCUUUGGGUCCACAGAACCAGAACAGCCCUUUCAUGAAGACAAAAUGCCAUGUUGUCUGAGCUUUGACUGCACCACAGGCACUCUGCAAAAAUAUCUUCUUACAGCUACAAGGGCUUCACCCCCACUAUGUUUGACUGUGUUGGGAGCUCGAGCACAGGCACUUCACUGGUGUAAAUCCUCAUAGAAGACAUUGCAGCUAUGACAACUUACACCAGCACCUGGGCUUGCCUGGAAAUAACACCACAUAGCAGCAAUGUUAGUGACCAGUAGAGAAUUAUUAAAGGAACACAGAUAAUUGGAAGAAAAUAAAUGACCUGGGUAGAAGAGCUACUAUAAAAUGAAGUGCAGGUAAAUCCCUAUACUGGACACCUUCCA